AGUGAACGCUGGCGGUAGGCCUAACACAUGCAAGUCGAACGGCAGCACAGUAAGAGCUUGCUCUUACGGGUGGCGAGUGGCGGACGGGUGAGGAAUACAUCGGAAUCUACUUUUUCGUGGGGGAUAACGUAGGGAGACUUACGCUAAUACCGCAUACGACCUACGGGUGAAAGCAGGGGAUCUUCGGACCUUGCGCGAUUGAAUGAGCCGAUGUCGGAUUAGCUAGUUGGCGGGGUAAAGGCCCACCAAGGCGACGAUCCGUAGCUGGUCUGAGAGGAUGAUCAGCCACACUGGAACUGAGACACGGUCCAGACUCCUACGGGAGGCAGCAGUGGGGAAUAUUGGACAAUCGGCGCAAGCCUGAUCCAGCCAUACCGCGUGGGUGAAGAAGGCCUUCGGGUUGUAAAGCCCUUUUGUUGGGAAAGAAAAGCAGCAGGUUAAUACCCCGCUGUUCUGACGGUACCCAAAGAAUAAGCACCGGCUAACUUCGUG
rnacentral:rRNA from 1 species